UCGAUACAUGUUUAAACGGCUCCCGUUUGGCAUCUCAUCUGCACAGGAUGUUUUUCAGUCCAUUAUGUCUGAAAUUUUUGAAGACAUUGAGGGGGUAGAAGUCGUUGUGGAUGACAUACUUGUUUGGGGAACGAAAGUAGAAGAGCACGACUCGAGACUCGAACAAGUGUUACAACGUGCUCAAUCAAGAAAUCUCAAGCUCAACAAGGAUAAAAGCCAGAUCAGGUUAAAAGAAAUCAGCUAUAUUGGUCACACCCUCAGUGAACAGGGAAUCAAUCCUGACCCCCAAAAAUACAAGCCAUUACUAACAUGGAGGCACCUACUAAUAGAGAGGAACUCCAACGCAUCCUAGCCCCACUUAGGUUACUCCUCGAAAAAAACAUCGAGUGGCACUGGACCUCUGAACACACAGGCUCUAACUAAAUUAAAAAGCUUGAUCACCAGUCACCCAACCUUAAAGUUCUUUGACCCAUCAAAACCCAUCAAGGUCUCUGUUGAUGCCAGUUAUAAGGGCAUAGGUGCUGUCCUCCUCCAGGACAACCAACCAGUAGCAUAUGCAUCAAAGUCACUGACUCCCACCCAGCAACACUAUGCACAAACAGAGAAGGAGAUGCUUGCCAUUGUCUUUGGUUGCCAGAAGUUCCAUGACUACUUGUACGGGCUAUUGUGUGUGCACAUCGAGACAGAUCACAAACCUCUGGAAACCAUCUUAAAGAAGCCACUACACACUGCACCAGCCCGAUUACAACGUAUGAUUAUGUCUAUCCAAAGAUAUCCAAUAAGUGUCUCGUACAGACCUGGCAAGGAAUUACUCAUUGCUGACACUCUCUCUCGUUCACCGUUACCCGAUACUGCUGAAAGCAAGCUAGCUGAGUUCAAAG